rnacentral:misc_RNA from 1 species
AAGGAUCAUUAUUGAAUAAAAACAUUUUGAUGGGCUGUUGCUGUGCUCUUCUAGAGUAAUGUGCACGCUUGUCGUUAUUUUUGUUUUUCUCCACCUGUGCACCUUUUUGUAGAUCUUGGAGAGAAUUGUCUUGAGCAAUCAGGAUAGAUUUUGGGGACUGCUGUGCCUUUCGAAUGAAAUGCCAGCUUUCCCUUGUCUCUCUAGGUUCUAUGUUAUUCACAUACUCCUAUGAAUGUAAUAGAAUGUUGAUCUGGGUCUUUCAGUGCCCAUAAAGUUUUAUACAACUUUCAGCAAUGGAUCUCUUGGCUCUC